rnacentral:rRNA from 1 species
UACGUAGGGGGCAAGCGUUGUCCGGAUUUACUGGGCGUAAAGAGCGCGUAGGCGGAAGUUUAAGCGGGGCCUGAAAGCCCCCGGCUCAACCGGGGAAGGUGGCUGCGAACUGGGCUUCUUGAGGGGGGUAGAGGAGAGUGGAAUUCCUGGUGUAGCGGUGAAAUGCGUAGAGAUCAUGAGGAAGACCAGUGGCGAAGGCGGGUCUCUGGACAGUUCCUGACACUGAGACACGACAGCGUGGGGAGCAAACAGG